CCUGGCUGACCCGGCGAGCUCUCCCUCCUGCCUCUGGCUACAGCUCUGCGUAUCAAGCCCCGCCCCGGCCCAAAGGGGUUAUCGCUUCCUGUAGGACGCGCCCCUUGGAGAUAAUUCCUCUUCACCCUUUGGCCCUUACUCAUUUUAGGGGCAUAAAGUAAUAAAAGAGAAUUCAAUAUCCAUGUAGAGCACUCAAGCAAGUUCUGAAACCGCUUCGUAUCUGCUUUGUACUGUUGAUGCCUUCCUGGUAUCGUAUGUACCCCCAAAUUCUGCAUAGACCAUUUCGUGUAAUGGAAAUGGCACCUUCCUUCUUAAAGGAAGAUACUGACAAGAUGGAGGAUAACGUGAGGAAAAAGAAUAUGAUAUAUACAACUGGGUCACUUUGCUGUACAGAAGAAAUUGACAGAACAUUGUAAAUCAACUAUAGUAGAAAAAAUAAAAAUAUUUAAAAAACAUGCAGUUAAAAUGUGACAAUAAAGAAAUGAUUUGACUUUAAAACAACAAAUUGACCGCACAGUACUAUUGAGAUGUCAUUUCCAGGGGAAACAUUUAAAAAGAAACUCUAAGCUUUUUAAUAUGCAUAUUGUCGGUAAUAACAUUCAUACUGUCAUUUCUGAAAUAUACUAGUAUAAAGCAUAUACAUAAUCUUUGGGAACCAAGAUUUUCAGUAUUAAAAAAAGAAAAUGUAAAGAUUAAAAAAUCAGGGAGUUCCCAUCAUGACUCAGUGGUUAACAAAUCUCACUAGGAACCAUGAGGUUGCUGGUUCCAUCCCUGGCCUUGCUCAGUGGGUUAAGGAUCCAGCAUUGCCGUGAGCUGUGGUGUAGGUCGCAGAUGCAGCUUGGAUCCUGCGUGGCUGUGUCUGUGGUAUAGACUGGCAGCUACAGUUCCGAUUAGACCCCUAGCCUGGGAACCUCCAUAUGCCUCAGGUGCGGCCCUAGAAAAGGCAAAAAAGACAAAGGAAAAAAAAAAAAAAAAGAUUGUUUAAAGGGAUGAAAAAAAAGAUAAAAAAUCAAAGAAAUUAAGUAAAAACACUGCGAUCCUAAGUUUGAUUUUAGAAACAUCAGUGUGAACUACUAAAUUUGAAUUUAGAAAUAUUAGCAUAAACUCAUGGUGCAUUUUUUUUUUCCGUUAAAAAAAUCUGUGCACUGAAAAGGCCUAGAGCAAUGAUCAACUCAAUGCAUAACCCUAUUUUCCUAUAAUCUCUAACUAUAAUUCCCCACUAAAAAUCACCUGGGCUCCUCUUGGAGCUCAAGGCCUGAAUCUAUAUUUGGGGCAAGAAAUGUGUAAGAAAGCUUAGGAUAUACUGGUUAUAUCAGAAUGCAAAGAAGAGAGUUCCCAUUGCGGCGUAACAGAAACGAAUCCCACUAGUAUCCAUUAGGAUGCAGGUUCAAUUCCUGGCCUUGCUCGGUGGGUUAAGGAUCUGGCAUUGCCUGCCGUGAGCUGUGGUGUAGGUCACGAACGCACUGGGAUCCUGCGUUGUUGUGGCUGCGGCUAUGGCCAGCAGCUAAAGCUCCAAUUCAACCCCUAGCCUGGGAACUUCCGUAUGCUGCAGGUGCGUGCCCCCCCCCCAAAAAAAAGAAUGCAAAGAAAACAAAAAUAGGAGUGUGUCAAAAAGACUCAGGAGCCAGGAGCCAAAGGUGUUCAAAGGUGUUCCCACUGGUCAAAGAUGGGAAAAUUUCAGGGUUCAAAAAUAGUAGCAAUUGAGACACAUCUACUAGGUUAAAAAUCAAUGAGUAUGUUGAUUUUUUAAAAUGUCGUUGGUUACCUUUCAAGGAUGCCAAGGAAUCAUCACAUUCUGAAAACUGAUGAAAGAAUCAAGCAUCCUACCUUUUCUGCUGCAAACUGUAUCUCAGCCAAACAGUUAAUGUGGGAAAGUUCUUUUUUUUUUUUUUUUCUUUUUUGCUUUUUAUAUAGGGCAUAUGGAAGUUCCCAGGCUUGGAUCCAAUUGGAGCUGUAGCUGCUGGUCUACACCACGGCCACAGCAAAGCUGGAUCAGAGCUGCAGCUGUGAACUACACCACAGCGCAUGUCAACUCCAGGUCCUUAAUCCACUGAGUGAGGCCAGGGAUGGAACCUGUGUCCUUAUGGAUACUAGUUGGGUUUGUUCCUGCUGAGCCACAACAGGAAUUCCCAGGAAAGUUCUUUUUUUAAUAGAAUUUCAGGUAAUAAAUGCAAAGGAAAAGGUAGACCAUCACCAUUUUGGAAAUUCUAAUGAAAUAAUGUAUUUAGGUAGUGGUCAUCAAGUGAAUCCAGAAUCAUUAGAUGAAAAGCUGAUGGGAAACUUUACAGUGCAUGGGUGGGGCUGACAACACUAGAACUUGUUAAUAUCCCCCAAAGAGAAACUGAUUAGAUGUUAAGUGCUUUCUGAUGUGGAGCAAUAGAAGCACACACCACCUGUGAAAUAUCAGCGUGAAUGUAAGCAACAAAAUCGUGAGAAAAACUGCAGUUACUUCAAUAUAUAAGAAAAAUGAGAAGAUUAAAAGAGAAAUUUCUUUUUAAAAUAUACCACUCAAUGCAAAGGUAGAAUCUUAUGUGACCAUACCAACUAUAAAAAAACAUUUGAGACUAUCUGGAAAUUUUAAAUACUAACUUUAUGAUAUUAAGAAAUUAUUUUUCAAGAUGGGAUAAAUUUCAGUGGUGUCUUUAAAAAGUCAUAAUCUUUUAAAGAUACCUUUUUAAAUAUAUAUGAUGAAAAGAUACAAUACCCCAGAAAGUAACAACGUGUCCCCCCCCAAAAUAAAAACAGCCCCACAUUGAUGUGAGUACAUCAAAGAAGAACAAAAAGAAAUGAAAGCGCUCCCAGUGGCCAAAGUUGGGAAAGUUUGAGCAAGGAAAUAAAGUAGUGAUGAAUUAUAACCCAAAGUAAAAAAUAUAAAUCCUUGCUGGUUUUAUUUUUAUUUAUUUAUUUAUUUAUUUUUGUCUAUUGCCUUUUUGGGGCUGCACCCAUGGCAUAUGGAGGUUUCCAGGCUAGGAGCCUAAUCAGAGCUGUAGCUCCUGGCCUGUGCCAGAGCCACUGCAAUGCCAGAUACCAGCCACGUCUGUGACCUACAUCACAGCUCACAGCAAUGCCGGAUCUUCAUCCCACUGAGCCAGUCCAGGGAUGGAACCUGCAGUCUCAUGGUUCCUAGUCAGAUUCGUUUGCACUGUGCCACGAGGGUAACUCCAUUUUUUAAAUGUUUUUUUCUUUUUUUAAAAUUAAAUUUUUUAAUUUUAUAUACAGAGAUGAUUAAAUAUAUUAAUAAAUAGGAGAGACAAAUCUGCCAUGCAAAAGAAUUCAAAAUAAUUUCUGUAGGUACUCUGCCCUUGAGGAGAAGCAUAUAGCUCUCUUCCUUAGGGACAGACUGAGCAGAAUGACUUCUUACAAAGUGCAUAGCAUGUAAGGGGAGGGGGAAAAAAAGUAACUUUGUUGUAGAGAAACCUAACAAGUGUUAGCCAGGUAAUCUUGGAAAAAACAUCAGCUGUCAUAAAUCAUGUUCACAGAAUGAACAUUUGAUAUGAUGCAAUAGAAGUGGAACAUUAUAGUCUUCCUUCUAAUAACUCACAACUACAGUCUUACUAGGAGAAAAACAUCAAACUGCACCAAUGGGCGUCCUACAAAAAAUGCCUCACCAGUAUUCCUAAUGUAUCAAUAUUAGUUCCUUAAUUGUAACAAAUGUAUCCUACUAUGUAAUGUUAAUAAUAGUGGAAAUUGGAUAUGGCUUAUAUGGGAACUCUCCAUAUUGUCCUCUCAAUCUGUAGUUCCAAAAUUGUUCUAAAAA
rnacentral:lncRNA from 1 species